rnacentral:lncRNA from 1 species
UACCUCACUGAUUACAGUGGAGUACAUUGAAGCUGUUAGUUCUACUUCCCUGGGAAACAGUGGAAUAGAUCGAAGAUUACAAUCUUAUCUCCCUAAGCAGUAGUGGAGUAGAUCGCAUUAAGUCUUAUCUCCCUAAGCAGUAGUGGAGCAGACAAAACCACAGAUCUUAUUUCCCUAAGCAAUAGUGGAACAGAUCGCAUCAAGUCUUAUCUCCCUAAGUAGUAGUGGAGCAGACUAAAAACACAAAUCUCAUCCCCAUGGAAUCGUAGCAGAGUAGAUUGAAGCUACAAGGCGUAUCUGAAGUUGAAGUAGAGUGGAUCGAAGCAACAAGACGUAGCAGGCUGGAAUAAGGCU